rnacentral:lncRNA from 1 species
CUCUUCCCUGCAAGCACGCUUUUCUCACGUCCGGGGAUCCAAAACUCGAAACAGAAACCUUGACCCGACGAGGAGAUCCAGAUACUGCAUAUCGGGUCGGGAUGAGGCAAAAGGAUGGAGUUGCCUCUGACAGAAAAGGUGUAAAUGGCGGCGACGUUUUGGAAAAAUGAAAGAAGUAUUUUUCUGUCCUGCAGUUCGUCGGGGAUAGCUUCUUUGAGAGAGGAGAGAGAAUGAAGAGAGGUGGAGGAGGAGAAGGUCAUUGGAAGUUGGUAAUUUCAACAUUUUGAAGAAAAAUA